GGGUUGUGAGGUUAAGCGACUAAGCGUACACGGUGGAUGCCCUGGCAGUCAGAGGCGAUGAAGGGCGUGCUAAUCUGCGAUAAGCGCCGGUAAGGUGAUAUGAACCGUUAUAACCGGCGAUACCCGAAUGGGGAAACCCAGUGUGAUUCGUCACACUAUCAUUAACUGAAUCCAUAGGUUAAUGAGGCGAACCGGGGGAACUGAAACAUCUAAGUACCCCGAGGAAAAGAAAUCAACCGAGAUUCCCCCAGUAGCGGCGAGCGAACGGGGAGGAGCCCAGAGCCUGAAUCAGCAUGUGUGUUAGUGGAAGCGUCUGGAAAGGCGCGCGAUACAGGGUGACAGCCCCGUACACAAAAGCGCAUGUGCUGUGAGCUCGAUGAGUAGGGCGGGACACGUGGUAUCCUGUCUGAAUAUGGGGGGACCAUCCUCCAAGGCUAAAUACUCCUGACUGACCGAUAGUGAACCAGUACCGUGAGGGAAAGGCGAAAAGAACCCCGGCGAGGGGAGUGAAAAAGAACCUGAAACCGUGUACGUACAAGCAGUGGGAGCACCCUUUGGGUGUGACUGCGUACCUUUUGUAUAAUGGGUCAGCGACUUAUAUUCUGUAGCAAGGUUAACCGAAUAGGGGAGCCGGAGGGAAACCGAGUCUUAACCGGGCGUUAAGUUGCAGGGUAUAGACCCGAAACCCGGUGAUCUAGCCAUGGGCAGGUUGAAGGUUGGGUAACACUAACUGGAGGACCGAACCGACUAAUGUUGAAAAAUUAGCGGAUGACCUGUGGCUGGGGGUGAAAGGCCAAUCAAACCGGGAGAUAGCUGGUUCUCCCCGAAAGCUAUUUAGGUAGCGCCUCGUGAAUUCAUCUCCGGGGGUAGAGCACUGUUUCGGCUAGGGGGCCAUCCCGGCUUACCAACCCGAUGCAAACUGCGAAUACCGGAGAAUGUUAUCACGGGAGACACACGGCGGGUGCUAACGUCCGUCGUGAAGAGGGAAACAACCCAGACCGCCAGCUAAGGUCCCAAAGUCAUGGUUAAGUGGGAAACGAUGUGGGAAGGCCCAGACAGCCAGGAUGUUGGCUUAGAAGCAGCCAUCAUUUAAAGAAAGCGUAAUAGCUCACUGGUCGAGUCGGCCUGCGCGGAAGAUGUAACGGGGCUAAACCAUGCACCGAAGCUGCGGCAGCGACACUGUGUGUUGUUGGGUAGGGGAGCGUUCUGUAAGCCUGUGAAGGUGUGUCGUGAGGCAUGCUGGAGGUAUCAGAAGUGCGAAUGCUGACAUAAGUAACGAUAAAGCGGGUGAAAAGCCCGCUCGCCGGAAGACCAAGGGUUCCUGUCCAACGUUAAUCGGGGCAGGGUGAGUCGACCCCUAAGGCGAGGCCGAAAGGCGUAGUCGAUGGGAAACGGGUUAAUAUUCCCGUACUUGGUGUUACUGCGAAGGGGGGACGGAGAAGGCUAUGUUGGCCGGGCGACGGUUGUCCCGGUUUAAGCGUGUAGGUGUGUGUUCCAGGUAAAUCCGGUUCACUUUAACACUGAGGCGUGACGACGAGGCACUACGGUGCUGAAGCAACAAAUGCCCUGCUUCCAGGAAAAGCCUCUAAGCAUCAGGUAACAUCAAAUCGUACCCCAAACCGACACAGGUGGUCAGGUAGAGAAUACCAAGGCGCUUGAGAGAACUCGGGUGAAGGAACUAGGCAAAAUGGUGCCGUAACUUCGGGAGAAGGCACGCUGACACGUAGGUGAAGUGAUUUAC
rnacentral:rRNA from 1 species